ensembl:lncRNA
AGAAAUGUUCUGACGUUACUCAAUAUGUUUUUUUCCCCGCCUUCUACUGCAGUGCUUGUUGGAGUUCAUCACCGCCAGUGGAACAGUUAUCCUUUGCUGUGAGGACACACCUGGAGAAGAAAUCAUAAUGGCUGGAAGAGACAUGCAUGGACUACUCUCCAUCCACGCCAGAAGACACGGUGGAAUGCACUGAUUGCUGACAGUGUAGGUCAGUAACAUUGCUGAGUGGAGGUACUGUCACAUACAGCUGUGUCUGGCUCCUGCUCAUACACAGGACUGAGGCCAAACAGCAGGCAGAAGGUGGAACAAGAUUUCCAGGUAAUUUGGGAAAGAGUUUAAAGCAGUACAGCUUACAGGUAGGGUCAGGUGGGAGGUUUUCAAACUGCCCCACCAACUCUCAACACAGCGUUACAGUUACGGCUGCUGACUCAGCUUCUUGGGAAUAAGGCUGUACGUUCAGGUAAUUUAAACCUCCAAUUCUGAAAGCAUUUUCUUUUUCAUACUGUUUUUUUUAGUUUCGAAGCCUAUUUAAAAGGCUCAGUUGUUUUUCAAAUAAAAAUCAGACAGAUGAGAACUGGUGAAAGGGUUGCAAUGAUUUGAUCAAGUAUUAAGGAAGUUCAGCACACACAGCAGUCCCUUCUCAGAUAUUUGCUUUUCACCAUAGCUCUGAGUAUUUCAAUUGCUCACCAGUUCUUCUCCUGGGGAGCAGCGAAAUGAGAAUUUUUGCUUCAUACAUGAAGACUGAGCACAGUCGGGUCUCCGAACCAUUUUUUUUGCAUUAAAUCUGUGUCUCUCUCUGUUGUUCAUAUUCUUGUAGCUGUGAAGGUCAACGACAAAAGACAAGGUUUGGAGGGAGAGACAAUAUUUUUUAUCUGGAGAAAAAGUAUAGAAGUUGUUAGGCACUUAAAUCCUAGGCUUCAAAUGUACCAUGAUAGUGUCCAGUGGGAAAUAGAAUUUUUGUUUCCAAGGCUGUGGUUUGAAGAUUUUUUCUUUCAUUUGCCCUUGAGAAGCAAGCCUUGUAGGUCAAUUGUGGAGCAGUUUGAAAACAACUGAGGAGGGCUGUGUGUGGGAGGACAGAGUAAUCUGUGUUUGUUUGGUUUCUCACAGGGAAUGCUAGUGACCUACAACUUUAAUGGGAGUAACAAUCAACUGGUUCCUAAUUGAGAUCAGUUUCCUAGUGUGCCUGAGGCAGUGACUUGUAGUCUCAGGGAGCCUCCUCGGCAGGGAAGGCUUCCAAACACUGUCAUUUCAGCAUGGGAACCAUUUAUUGAACUUAGUAGCAUGAUAAAUGCUUUCAGUGAACC